rnacentral:rRNA from 1 species
UACGUAGGUGGCGAGCGUUGUCCGGAUUUACUGGGCGUAAAGGGCGUGCAGGCGGUUUGCUAAGUCUAGGGUGAAAGCUCCCGGCUCAACUGGGAGAGGUCCUUGGAUACUGACAGACUUGAGGGAGGCAGAGGAGAAUGGAAUUCCCGGUGUAGUGGUGAUAUGCGCAGAUAUCGGGAAGAACACCCGUGGCGAAGGCGGCUCUCUGGACCGAGACUGACGCUGAGGCGCGAAAGCGUGGGGAGCAAACAGG